rnacentral:lncRNA from 1 species
CGCGAAGUUCCAAUCAGCAGACUGCGGAGCACGCGGGGGUCGGCGUCUUUACAAUUGAUUGACUUCGGAUUUUGCAAGGCACCCCCACCGAGACAAGGAAUUCCUGCAGAGAGAAACCUGGUGCCACAUGCUGCCAGCACUUAACCUGGAGCGGCUGAAACACUGAGAUGUUCAGAGGGGUUUCUCUGACAGACCCAAACAGCCUGCAUCUUGGCCUACCACCGUGUCUUCCUCAGUAUAGGCUGAUAUGCCCAGGGUAGUCCUGAAUGGUGUGACAGUGGAUUUCCCUUUCCAGCCCUACCCAUGCCAGCAGGAAUAUAUGACCAAGGUGCUAGAAUGUCUCCAGAAGAAAGUGAAUGGCAUCCUCGAGAGCCCCACUGGCACUGGGAAGACAUGAAACCAGGGCCCUCGACGUCCAAGAAACCUGAGAAGACCCAGAGUAAGAUCUCAUCCUUCCUUAGACAGAGGCCAGACCAGAGUGCGAGGUCUGAUGAUACCAUAAUGCAGCUUCCUCCCAGACUACCCCCUGAACACACGACGUCUCAGUGGAAUUUUGUAUGCCCAGCCUGUGCAACUGAGGAUACAGUGCUUUUCCAGUGCCCUUCCUGUGACUUCUGCCGCUGCCGGGCCUGCUGGCAACGUCAACUCCAGGAAGCAGAGCAUUGCACAGGUCAUCUGGCCGAAGCCCCAGUGAACACAGAUGAUGGCCUUUGCUGGCCCAGAUGCGGCUAAAUCCACUGUAGCUCUCAUGCUCAGCUGUCCAAUGGAAUCUACUUGUGAAGUCUUAAAACUUCAAAUAUAUUGGCAUCGCACACAUAUUACUGAAGGUAUAGACUGUUCAAUAAAAUUAACAGUUGUCAGGA